rnacentral:lncRNA from 1 species
CAGAUCAUCACCAAGAAAAUGAUCUAGUCCAUGAAUGGUUCUAUGCUUCGUGGACAGCAGUUAGUCCCAGCUUAUCAUUGGGUUAUGUUCUAAUAGUUCACCUUUAAGUAGUUACUUUUUUUCCUUUCAAUUUUAUUUACACAUGCAGGUGUGUUACAUGGGUGUAUUGUAUGAUGCUGAGAUUUCGGAUACAGAUCCUGUGACCCAGGUAGUGAGCACUUUACCCAACAGGCUGGAGUGCACCAGGCUGGAAUGCAAUGGCGUGAUCUUGGCUCACGGCAACCUCCACCUCCCGGAUUCAAGCGAUUCUCCUGUCUCAGCCUCCCGAGUAGCUGGGAUUACAGCCAUUGCGCCAACAUGCUUGGCUAAUUUUGUGUUUUUAGUAGAGACGGGGUUUCUUCAUGUUGGUCAGGCUGGUCUCCAACUCCCGACCUCAGAUGAUCCACCCGCCCCUGCCUCUCAAAGUGCUGGGAUUACAGGCGUGAGCCACCUCACUCGGCCAAAAUUAAGGCAUUUUGCGCAGAAAAGAUCGAGAUCCCAAAGGCUUCCUUGAGAAUUCAGACUUAAGGAAACUCCCUGAGGUGGACAGAUUUGGCUCACACAAAGGCCGAGGUGGAGCAAAAGCAUCUGAAAUGGAGUCACAGUUGGGGUGGAAAGAAACAGGACCCAGUGAGUAGGGCCUCACCCUAAGCCUGAAGGUUGAAGUAGGAUGGCUUUGGGUCCGUGGUGUGGGCGUGCUGGAGCCUCUCUCAACCUGGGUAUCCAGCCCCGUGUCCUGGGGACAGUGGCUGUGGGAGAAGAUUUGAAGUGCACCUGAGCUCAUUUCGGGCAUGAAAAUAUCCUUGACAAAGUAAAACAGUGACUUUGUUCAGGACCAGUUCUGCACCAGUGUCAGUGACAGACCAGAGUAAAAACCUCAGCAGAAUUUGGGAAUCUGGUGCCCUGCACCUGAUGAGCAGCUGUAGGUGGUGUAUCCACAGCCCAGAGGCUCCUUAGCCAGGCUUGGAGUCAGCUACAGAACCAGGUCUCUGCCCUGCAGCAUCCUACUGAGAGGCCUCACGUGUUUCUUGGGACUGAUGAAGUCCUCCAGCCUCAUGGGGUAUGUCUGCUUUCCAGCUCCCUGUGAACGUGCACGAGAGGCAACCUCAGGACUUCAUGAGGGUCUCGCGGGAGUAGAACCUGGAGAGGAAAGAAGAGCAUUCUCCGGAAAAAUGAGAGGAGGCAAUGGGGAUGUGUGUGUCCUUAUUGGUGCGUCCAGGCUAAUACAUGGGAUUAUUAGCUGCAUGACCCAAGUAUACUUUUAAUUAAUGCCAAACACAAAUUAUUAAGUUACUUUUAACCUUUUAAUAAAAUGCUUAACCAAUAAAUUAAUUGAUAGAAAAAAAGAGUCUGAAAAACAAAACACCCAUUAAAUCCAAAUAAAGCAAUUAACU